ensembl:lncRNA
CACAGAUUUAAGCUUCUCUUUUUUUUGAUUGCACAAGUAAAGGGCUUGGUUAUUUUUGUGUAUCAUCAUUGGUUGUUUCUGUAUAAUGCUAUGUGUGGCACAGAGGUAUAAAAGUUCCUAAUCUGUAGUUCAGCUUCAACUUGAGGAGGAGGAACUGUUCAACUGAAAAGUUACAACCUCCACGGCUGCAUUCUUACACAUUUAUUGAAAACAGAACUUGAAAAAGUUGAAAUGAAGAAGCCUGCUCUCCUCUCUGCAGCCCUGCUGCUGCUGUUUUUUGUUGGGACAUCAGCUCAGGGUAACCUUUAGUGUUUUUUUCCUGUGUUGCUAAAUAAAAAACAAAAAGAAAUGCCAAAAAAUCCUUGAAAAGUCACAUAGAUUAAUCGCCUUUAUUGUUUUUCUGCUCAUCUUCGGUAAACUAACUUCACCCUCCUUUGUUAUUUAAGGUAACACUAACUUCAGAGUGCAAGUGAAUGUGCCACCCACUAACAUUAAGACCUACAACACUUUUACUGCUUAUAGAGGCAGCCUCUUCGGUGGACUGACGAGACUGAGAUACUCAAACCAAGGCUUCAACUUUCAGUACAUACCACAUGAUGACUAUGGACCAUUCCUUCAGAGUGUAAAUGGUUUGGCAGGAAAUUCAUCACACUACUGGCAACUGCUGAGUGGUACAACCCCACUCAAUGUUGGUAUGGGAUGCUACCUUCCAACUGCAAAUGAAGUCGUCACCCUGAAAUACACGAAAAUUUAAGACCAUCUAAAGUCUUAUUAUGACUCAUGGUCAACCAAUACACUUUGAUCUUUGGCAAGUUGAGGUGAAUAAUUGACUUGUGUCAUUUUUUUGCUUGGGAGUCUUCUAAUCAUAAAUCAGUAGCCUAUCACUGGCUUAGAUUCUUUUACUGGGUUUCUGUCAGACUUUAUGAAUUAAGAUUACAGCGUUAAUCUACAAUUCUGCCACAGUGUAGUAAUCUGGAGUAAUAGAAAACUCCAUUAGUCACAAGAGCAGUCAGUAAAACAUAUACAACAACUUGAACUGUUUUUUAAUUUACUGCCUUUAUGGCAACUUUUAUUGUGUUUGAGAGCAAUUAGUAGUUUCUCAACUUGCCCCCAUGUAUCAUAAUUUUACAUUCAAAUUCCAUAUUUGAUGCUUACAAGUGGUCUCAGUUUUACUGUAAAAGGAUGGUGUGGUUAUACAGUAGACUGCCCAGAGACUGCUGGCCAGCAAAAACAGCAGGGGGGGUCAGCUGCUGACUCCAUGUCAAAAUAGCUUCUUUAUCCUGCAAAUCAAGUUAUCAACAGCUUGCGAGUCAAAAGGCUUCUGAGAUUGACUGGGCUGCUGACCUCCCCUAUUUUUGAGCUUUUGGGGGUUUAUUAGAGUGGCAAAAUAAGAUCAAAUUCAUUGCUGAAUAAUUUUUGUAUGAGUGCAUUUUUAUUGUUGAAUAAAAUGUUACUGAUUAUUAGUGUUAUCUUCCUCAGGCAUUAAAUAAAGCAUGUAACUUGUAGUCAAAAUAAAAUGUUUCUAGCCUUGGUUUGUUUUAUUUUUAGACAGGCUUAUUUAAAGUGUUGUUAGCAUGUCCAUCAUUAUGUAUCCUAAAACAAUGACAGCUCUAGACCAGGGGUGUCAAAAAUCAGGCCAGAGGCCAGAAACGGCUGUGAGAUUAUCAUACUAUCUUAUGCCACC